AAACCAACAGGGAUUGCCUUAGUAGCGGCGAGUGAAGCGGCAAUAGCUCAAAUUUGAAAUCUGGCGCCUUCGGUGUCCGAGUUGUAAUUUGAAGAAGGUAUCUUUGGUUUUGGCUCUUGUCUAUGUUUCUUGGAACAGGACGUCAUAGAGGGUGAGAAUCCCGUCUGAUGAGAUGCCCAAUUCCAUGUAAAGUUCCUUCGACGAGUCGAGUUGUUUGGGAAUGCAGCUCUAAGUGGGUGGUAAAUUCCAUCUAAAGCUAAAUAUUGGCGAGAGACCGAUAGCGAACAAGUACUGUGAAGGAAAGAUGAAAAGAACUUUGAAAAGAGAGUGAAAAAGUACGUGAAAUUGUUGAAAGGGAAGGGUUUAAGGUCAGACUUGGUUUACCAGGCCAGCAUCGGUUUAGAUGGCAGGAUAAUGGCGUAGGAAUGUGGCUUUGCUUCGGUAAAGUGUUAUAGCCUGCGUUGAUACUGCCUAUUUAGACCGAGGACUGCGUCUUUGACAAGGAUGCUGGCAUAAUGGCCUUAAGCCACC
rnacentral:rRNA from 1 species